rnacentral:rRNA from 1 species
GACGAACGCUGGCGGCGUGCUUAACACAUGCAAGUCGUACGGUAAGGCCCUUUCGGGGGUACACGAGUGGCGAACGGGUGAGUAACACGUGAGUAACCUGCCCACAACUUUGGGAUAACGCUAGGAAACUGGUGCUAAUACUGGAUAUGUGCUCCUGCUGCAUGGUGGGGGUUGGAAAGCUCCGGCGGUUGUGGAUGGACUCGCGGCCUAUCAGCUUGUUGGUGGGGUAGUGGCCUACCAAGGCGGCGACGGGUAGCCGGCCUGAGAGGGUGACCGGCCACAAUGGGACUGAGAUACGGCCCAGACUCCUACGGGAGGCAGCAGGGGGGAAUAUUGCACAAAGGGCGCAAGCCUGAUGCAGCAACGCCGCGGGCGGGAUGACGGCCUUCGGGUUGUAAACCGCUUUCAGCAGGGACGAAGCUUUUUGUGACGGUACCUGCAGAAGAAGCACCGGCUAACUACGUG